rnacentral:ncRNA from 1 species
GCCCUGGUCGGAACCAGGGCCGACGAACAGGAG